rnacentral:tRNA from 1 species
ACCUGGUCGGCUCAGUCGGUAGAACGUGGGACUCUUGAUCUCGGGGUCGUGAGCUCGAGCCCCACACUGGGUG